GACGAACGCUGGCGGCGUGCUUAACACAUGCAAGUCGAACGGAAAGGCCCCCACCUUGGUGGGGGUGCUCGAGUGGCGAACGGGUGAGUAACACGUGGGUGAUCUGCCCUGUACUUCGGGAUAAGCUUGGGAAACUGGGUCUAAUACCGGAUAGGACCAUGGUUUAGUGUCUCAUGGUGGAAAAAUUAUUGUUUUGGUGCAGGAUGAGCUCGCGGCCUAUCAGCUUGUUGGUGGGGUAAUGGCCUACCAAGGCGUCGACGGGUAGCCGGCCUGAGAGGGUGGACGGCCACAUUGGGACUGAGAUACGGCCCAGACUCCUACGGGAGGCAGCAGUGGGGAAUAUUGCACAAUGGGCGCAAGCCUGAUGCAGCGACGCCGCGUGGGGGAUGACGGCCUUCGGGGUGUAAACUCCUUUCGUUAGGGACGAAGCCACACCUUUUUUGGGUGUGGUGACGGUACCUUUGUUAAGAAGCACCGGCUAACUACGU
rnacentral:rRNA from 1 species